AAAUUUAAUCACAGCUAAUAAUGAACAUUUCAUGAAUGAAAAUUUUCAACGAAAAACCUUUAAGCCCAAAAGCUACAGCGGUUCAAGGACUGCGUGACAAUGGCACAUUGUAGCCGAAGGUUCUGCCUAUAGAAUAUUACUGAUGGAGCUAAUGGCGCACACACACAUGCGCGCCCACACAUAUGUGUAAAGUAAGCACAUACGAACAAACAUAAAAAUACACGCGCACUCGCAUGUGUGCCGUAACAUUGAACUUCGCCAUUCGCUGUCCAUCAACAAUGAGCUCGCACUGGAAUUAUUUAUAGUACCCGCUACACCGCUGCCCUGGCAGCCGUUCAAUAAAUUUGCUGCUAUUUUAAGCGUCAAGUGCAUUUUAAUAGGACAACGCGGCGUAUGCGUAAUUUGAUUGCGUGCUAAGUUUAGAGAUAAUUCUAUGGAAUCAUAAGCAAGUCCACACAGCAUGUCACAGUUGGUACUGAUAUGCAUUGAUAUGGAGGGUUAAAGAGCUGUCAAUUAACUUUACAUGUUUUUGGUUUUUUGUUUAUUGUUAUUUUUUGUUUUUGUUUUGGUUGGCUCUGAUGAAUGGCAAUUAGGGCGCAAUUAUGAAGCUGGUUUUAUGCGAAUUAACGUGACACUCGUUGGUUGCUUUGGGAACAUUUUGCAAGAUUUAAUUGCUCCUGUGUGUUUUGAUGGCAGUCAGCCGGGAGUGUGCGUCUGUUCGGGUGGCAGAUUGGCUACUUUUGCAGCAUAUUUUGCAGCAGUGAAAAGACCUUGGGUAAAAUGUGUUAGCGAGCUGCUAAAUAAAACAAACUGUCAAUUUUAA